rnacentral:sRNA from 1 species
CUUAUGUGAACUGCUAAUUGGAGUCUGAUGUUCUUGGCCCCCAAACAGUCAGAAAUGACAGCUCCCGCUCCAGCAGCUGGGCUUCCUGGGGAGGGAGUGCAGCCGGGCAGGGCAGGCUCAUCCCCUGACCAGAAAGCGUACUCGUGCCCACUGGCUCAGAGGCCCUGGCCGCCGGCCGGAUGGUGCCCCGGGGACCUGAGGCGAGCAGGAGCUCUCCUGUAAUUCCCAGAGCACCCGCUGCCCUCAGCCAAGCUGAGGCCCCUCAGCUGUGCCUGUGAGUGGACAAGGCCAGGCUGGGUGUGCACUGGGGCAGUGUGGGGCGCAGACAGGGGCCCCUGCAGGGAGCGGCUCUACCACUGUCCCUCAGGCGUUCUCCAAGGCUGGGGGCUGUUUCCCAGGGCCCUGCCGUAAGGCCCUGAGCUCUCCUCUGGGAGCCACACUUGCCAAGCCACGUGCACAUGGCACAUUUGGACUGGCGCACUAAGGCUGGCAGACCCACCCUGAUGACGGCACCUGUCCUCCCUGGACAGUCACACGGAAAACCUGGGCCUCGGCCUAGGGGAGCUGGGACCACGACUUCUGGGGCCAGUUUCUACUUGGGCUGCCUGGAAGGAAAGCUGUGGCCCCAAGGGGCUUCACAGCCGCCUUAAGAGCUUUUUUGGCUUCAGUGGUUUGGCAUCUGCCACUCCUCUGGCCAGCAGCGGGGCCUGGCUAAGGGCAGCCCAACCCUCAGCCAGCCCCACAGGCCUGUCUGGGCAGCUUGCCCCGGGUGUGUGCACAUGGGCGGCCACAGGGCUUCUCAAGCAAACCCUAGGGUAGUGUGGCCAGGGACACUCAAGAUCCAGGGGUAUGUGCAGGGUGGAAGGUCUUAUCAGGGUGCCCAUGGCCCAGCACAGCAGGGGCGAGUCUAGGCUGAGGACCCCAACGGUCAAGAGAGCCCACGAGACUGGCACCGGCCCUCACAUGCCCAUCUCUCCUGAUGAGACCACGGUGAGCCCUGGAGCUGCUCAUCAGGCCCCUCACCUCUGUUCCCCACAGGGCGUGGAGCGCAUAGACGAGCCCGGCCUGCGGAGCCUGCGCACUGCACGGCACCUGCAGCCAGGCAUGGUGCUCACCGUGGAGCCGGGCAUCUACUUCAUCGACCAUCUCCUGGAUGAGGCCCUGGCGGACCCGGCCCGCGCCUCCUUCUUUAACCGCGAGGUCCUGCAGCGCUUUCGCGGUUUUGGCGGGGUCCGCAUCGAGGAGGACGUCGUGGUGACUGACAGUGGCAUGGAGCUGCUGACCUGCGUGCCCCGCACUGUGGAAGAGAUUGAAGCAUGCAUGGCAGGCUGUGACAAGGCCUUUACCCCCUUCUCUGGCCCCAAGUAGAGCCAGCCAGAAAUCCCAGCGCACCUGGGGGCCUGGCCUUGCAACCUCUUUUCGUGAUUGGCAGCCUGCUGGUCAGCACUCCAGUAGCGAGAGACGGCACCCAGAAUCAGAUCCCAGCUUCGGCAUUUGAUCAGACCAAACAGCACUGUUUCCUGGGGAGGAAACACUUUUUUAAUUACCCUUUUGCAGGCUCCCACCUUUAAUCUGUUUUAUACCUUGCUUAUUAAAUGAGCAACUUAAAAUGAUUGAAAAUAAUGCUGUUCUUUAGUAGCAACUAAAAUGUGUCUUGCUGUCAUUUCUAUUCCUUUUCCCAGGAAAGAAGCAUUUCUGAUGAUACUUUCUGUCAAAAAUCAAUAUGCAGAAUGGCAUUUGCAAUAAAAGGUUUCCUAAAAUGGUC